CCACGCCGUAAACGAUGAGUAUUAGAUGGUGGGGUUACUCACUAUCGGAGCUAACGCAAUAAAUACUCCGCCUGGGGAGUACGGUCGCAAGACUAAAACUCAAAGGAAUUGACGGGGACUCGCACAAGCGGUGGAGCAUGCUGUUUAAUUCGUCGAUACGCGAAGAACCUUACCAGGCCUUGACAUAUAGAUGAAAGAGUUAGAGAUAACUUUUUCCUUCGGGACAACUAUACAGGUGGUGCAUGGUUGU
rnacentral:rRNA from 1 species